rnacentral:rRNA from 1 species
AAAUUGAAGAGUUUGAUCAUGGCUCAGAUUGAACGCUGGCGGCAGGCCUAACACAUGCAAGUCGAACGGUAACAGGAAGAAGCUUGC